UAUAUAUAUAUAUAUAUAUAUAUAUAUAUAUAUAUAUAUAUAUAUAUAUAUACUCCAGACUGGUUCUGUGUGUAUGUGUGUGUAUAUAUAUGUGUGUAUAUAUAUAUACUCCAGACUGGUUCUGUGUGUGUGUGUAUAUAUAUAUAUAUAUAUAUAUAUAUAUAUAUAUAUAUAUAUAUAUAUACACACACACAUAUACACACAUAUAUAUAUAUACACACAUAUACACACAGUAUAUACUCACAGUAUAUAUAUUUAUAUUCCAGGUCUCCAACAUUGCUCAUCCUAAUAUUUCUAUAUUUCUUAAUUCCUUUACUUUUUACUGUCACGUCCUGACCAGUAAUAGGGGUUAUUUGUUAUUGUAGUUUGGUCAGGACGUGGCAGAGGGGUGUUUGUUUUAGGUGGUUCGGGCUAUGUAUUUAGGUAGAGGAGUGUUUGGUUUAUGUGGUUCGGGCUAUGUAUUUAGGUAGAGGGGUGUUUGGUUUAUGUGGUUCGGGCUAUGUAUUUAGGUAGAGGGGUGUUUGUUUUAUGUGGUUCGGGCUAUGUAUUUAGGUAGAGGGGUGUUUGGUUUAUGUGGUUCGGGCUAUGUAUUUAGGUAGAGGGGUGUUUGGUUUAUGUGGUUCGGGCUAUGUAUUUAGGUAGAGGGGUGUUUGUUUUAUGUGGUUCGGGCUAUGUAUUUAGGUAGAGGGGUGUUUGGUUUAUGUCUAUUGUAGUUCUAUGUUUAGUUAAUUGGGGUUGGACCUUCAAUUGGAGUCAGCU
rnacentral:lncRNA from 1 species